rnacentral:rRNA from 1 species
CAAUAGCGUAUAUUAAUGUUGUUGCAGUUAAAAAGCUCGUAGUUGGAUUUCUACCUAUUUUGCCCGUUCCGGAAGAUAUUCAUCUUUCGGUAAUGGAGCUGAAGUGGGUAUCCUAUCAUGAAGUAGCGGCCUCGUGUCGUUGCUGAGUGGUUCUUUUACUUUGAAAAAAUUAGAGUGUUUAAAGCGGGCUUGCGCAUGAAUACAUUAGCAUGGAAUAAUAACAUAGGACUUUGGUCUCUAUUUUGUUGGUUUCUAGGACUAAAGUAAUGAUUGAUAGGGAUAGUUGGGGGUGCUAGUAUUGAGCGGCCAGAGGUGAAAUUCUUAGAUUCGCUCAAGACUAACUUAUGCGAAAGCAUUCACCAAGGAUGUCUUCUUUAA